GCUCUGCAUUAUCUACAGUGCAUCGAAUCAAACCAAAAUCUCCAAAUUCGAGGAGUUACGUCAGGUCUCGCAUACAUUUUAGGAAGUGUUUUGUGGCGUAACGCUUCCACAUUUUAUGUCAGGGAGGGAGUCACACAGGAGCAGUUACACCCUGAUUGACCUCAUACAUAUUAUAACCUACAACAAACCACCACUGCCACAGGAUCCGACUACAGCCUCACCAUCUUUCAAACACUGCAGAGCAGCAUCUCCUGUCCAUUAGGCUACUCCCUGGACUACAGCCCAUCUGUUUGGAGUUCAACCUGGCUGGCUUAUGUUCAGUACCAGAGGACUCACCAUGUGGCUAAAAGGUUUUAUAAGUAACCAUGUCAACAUGAAACUUCUGAAGACCUGUGUCAUCCUUCUUCUUCUGACUGUGUUGUUCUUUGUACUAAGAAACAUGGACCUGCUGCAGCGAAAUUAUAAAGAAAACUCUGC